rnacentral:rRNA from 1 species
AUUGAACGCUGGCGGCAUGCCUUACACAUGCAAGUCGAACGGCAGCACGGGUGCUUGCACCUGGUGGCGAGUGGCGAACGGGUGAGUAAUAAAUCGGAACAUGUCCUGUAGUGGGGGAUAGCCCGGCGAAAGCCGGAUUAAUACCGCAUACGAUCUACGGAUGAAAGCGGGGGACCUUCGGGCCUCGCGCUAUAGGGUUGGCCGAUAGCUGAUUAGCUAGUUGGUGGGGUAAAGGCCUACCAAGGCGACGAUCAGUAGCUGGUCUGAGAGGACGACCAGCCACACUAGAACUGAGACACGGCCCAGACUCCUACAGGAGGCAGCAGUGGGGAAUUUUGGACAAUGGGCGAGAGACUGAUACAGCAAUGCCGCGUGUGUGAAGAAGGCAUUCGGGUUGUAAAACACUUUUGUCCAGAAAGAAAGCCUUGGCUCUAAUACAGUCGGGGGAUGACGGUACCGGAAGAAUAAGCACCGGCUAAAUACGUG